GAAUGAACUAGCCCUGAAAAUGGAUGGCGCUGAAGCGGGCCACCUAUACAUGACCAUCGGGGCAAGUGCGAGGCCUCGAUGAGUAGGAGGGCGUGGCGGUCGUGGCGCAGCCUUGGGCGUGAGCCGGGGUGAAACGGCCGCUAGUGCGGAUCUUGGUGGUAGUAGCAAAUAUUCAAAUGAGAACUUUGAAGACUGAAGUGGAGAAAGGUUCCGUGUGAACAGCAAUUGGACACGGGUUAGUCGAUCCUAAGAGAUAGGGAAAUUCCGUUCUGAAGUGGCAGUGGCUCUCCGGAGCCUUGCGCCCGCCUAUCGAAAGGGAAUCAGGUUAAUAUUCCUGAACCGGGACGUGGAUAUUGUGCGGCAACGCAAACGAAACCAAAGACGUCCGC
rnacentral:rRNA from 14 species